rnacentral:piRNA from 1 species
UGAGCACCUACCAGAGCCCGAUGCUGC